CCCCACUACCCCCAGCGAUGCGGCCAUGAAGGAACCGCCCGCAGCCGCAGCCGCAGCGCCGCUCCCCGCCUCACCUAAAACCUAGCAGCUCCAUUCUCUUCCUCUGGCGGUGCCGCCCAGCGUUCCCUCACAGGUGAUGCGGAUACACCUCGCACUCAUAGCCUUCUAUUUCCAGGAUGAGGAGCUUGGACGUCUUGGAGGGCGGAUUCGACCAUGGAUCUGCAUUCGCGUACAACGAAGUCCCUGUCAGAUUCGCUUCCAGUGCUUGCAAGAUGAUUUCGGUCUACUCCAUGACGCAGAGGUCUCUCAAAGAGCUUCGGCGGCGAUUUAGAGAAAGGGAACGGCAGAAGUUCAAGAUCCAGAUGCAAUUUCUCCAUUUCCCUUUGUACUCUAAUCCAGGCCCUGCUCUAAUCUAUCCCUCGUGCUCUUCUUCCAUAUAUGCAUUGUUGUUUUUUUUCCUAGAUGAUGCACAAGAUGGCCUGAUGCUUUGAGGACGAUCCGGCGCUUACAUCUGGUGGCCGACCUCAAUAAUAAUCACUUGGACAGAUCGUGCAUUCCCAUAGAAGGGGAAUGGACAUAGGGAUCCGAGUAAGCUGAAAGUAUAUGGAUAUAGGGAUCGUGCAUUGCCAUGGAAAGGGAAUGGAGAUAGGAAUAUUUUUGUACAAUAUCAGCUUAUUUAUCUGCACACUCGCUUCUUUGUGUCUAAUCAUAUACUAGCUGCAUAAUAAAUAUGUUAGUUGUACCUUAUAAUGUUUAUCAAGGAAUACUUUUUUGAUGUGGUAAUUCUUCCUAUGCAUGGAGAUUAUUUGUGCCUUGAUAUUAAUCUACACAUAAUCUGGUUAUUUGGGAUUUGGAGCAGUUUUCUUUUUGGGAUUUGGAGCAGUUAAUAAUAAGCACAUUGUAAGAGCGCAAGGGGUGUGGUAGCGCAAGUGCACGACAGAUGUUCAAGCCCAAAGUUCAAUUUCUCUUUUCCCUGUCAGAUUCCCCUAUUUUUUCCCUUGGGUUGAUCUGUGUUCACAUUUUUUCUAGGAAUUUUGUGCAUCCUUGAGCCUUGACAAGUCUGAUGGCCUUGAGGCACAGUCGGAGAGGCAGCAGACCAUGCGACAGUGGCACGAGAGGCCACACCAAAAUCCUCUAGCAGGUGCACAUCAGCAGCAACAACCUGCAACACAGCAGCAGGAUGACCUGCAGGUGCUAAGGAUAGUUACAUACUGAAUGAGUAUUAAUUAAAUUGAGGUCGUGCAUCUCAAGGAAUGCGCACUAAUGCAAAUGGAUGUUCCGGUUCUUGUAUCUGAUCCAAGAAUUUAACAGAACAACAGAGAGAAUUGCCGCUGCUAACGUGUUAUCUACAACAGGGAAUUGAUUAUAGCAUACUGAAGGUCCGAUACAUUAGCCUGGCUUGCUAUUAUUAGAUAUCAUCUGUGGAGAUGUUACACAAAUAGUAGAAUGGAUAAAUAAGACUUGUGGAUUAUCAUGUUUGGAUGCAAGAUUGUAACUGUCUACUCUAUACAGAUAGCGCUACUCUAUAUAUAUAGCACUAUGUAGAAUAUCAUAUUUUGAUGAUACAUUGUAAUUUGUCUACUCUUCGGAUAUUUUCUUGUAUGAGGUGGUGAUUCAAUAUUAAAU